AUGCAAGUCGUACGCUUCUUUUUCCACCGGAGCUUGCUCCACCGGAAAAAGAAGAGUGGCGAACGGGUGAGUAACACGUGGGUAACCUGCCCAUCAGAAGGGGAUAACACUUGGAAACAGGUGCUAAUACCGUAUAACAAUCGAAACCGCAUGGUUUUGAUUUGAAAGGCGCUUUCGGGUGUCGCUGAUGGAUGGACCCGCGGUGCAUUAGCUAGUUGGUGAGGUAACGGCUCACCAAGGCCACGAUGCAUAGCCGACCUGAGAGGGUGAUCGGCCACAUUGGGACUGAGACACGGCCCAAACUCCUACGGGAGGCAGCAGUAGGGAAUCUUCGGCAAUGGACGAAAGUCUGACCGAGCAACGCCGCGUGAGUGAAGAAGGUUUUCGGAUCGUAAAACUCUGUUGUUAGAGAAGAACAAGGAUGAGAGUAACUGUUCAUCCCUUGACGGUAUCUAACCAGAAAGCCACGGCUAACUACGUGCCAGCAGCCGCGGUAAUACGUAGGUGGCAAGCGUUGUCCGGAUUUAUUGGGCGUAAAGCGAGCGCAGGCGGUUUCUUAAGUCUGAUGUGAAAGCCCCCGGCUCAACCGGGGAGGGUCAUUGGAAACUGGGAGACUUGAGUGCAGAAGAGGAGAGUGGAAUUCCAUGUGUAGCGGUGAAAUGCGUAGAUAUAUGGAGGAACACCAGUGGCGAAGGCGGCUCUCUGGUCUGUAACUGACGCUGAGGCUCGAAAGCGUGGGGAGCAAACAGGAUUAGAUACCCUGGUAGUCCACGCCGUAAACGAUGAGUGCUAAGUGUUGGAGGGUUUCCGCCCUUCAGUGCUGCAGCUAACGCAUUAAGCACUCCGCCUGGGGAGUACGACCGCAAGGUUGAAACUCAAAGGAAUUGACGGGGGCCCGCACAAGCGGUGGAGCAUGUGGUUUAAUUCGAAGCAACGCGAAGAACCUUACCAGGUCUUGACAUCCUUUGACCACUCUAGAGAUAGAGCUUCCCCUUCGGGGGCAAAGUGACAGGUGGUGCAUGGUUGUCGUCAGCUCGUGUCGUGAGAUGUUGGGUUAAGUCCCGCAACGAGCGCAACCCUUAUUGUUAGUUGCCAUCAUUUAGUUGGGCACUCUAGCAAGACUGCCGGUGACAAACCGGAGGAAGGUGGGGAUGACGUCAAAUCAUCAUGCCCCUUAUGACCUGGGCUACACACGUGCUACAAUGGGAAGUACAACGAGUCGCGAAGUCGCGAGGCUAAGCUAAUCUCUUAAAGCUUCUCUCAGUUCGGAUUGUAGGCUGCAACUCGCCUACAUGAAGCCGGAAUCGCUAGUAAUCGCGGAUCAGCACGCCGCGGUGAAUACGUUCCCGGGCCUUGUACACACCGCCCGUCACACCACGAGAGUUUGUAACACCCGAAGUCGGUGAGGUAACCUUUUGGAGCCAGCCGCCUAAGGUGGGAUAGAUG
rnacentral:rRNA from 1 species